rnacentral:rRNA from 1 species
GAGUUUGAUCAUGGCUCAGAUUGAACGCUGGCGGCAGGCCUAACACAUGCAAGUCGAACGGUAACAGGAAGCAGCUUGCUGCUUCGCUGACGAGUGGCGGACGGGUGAGUAAUGUCUGGGAAGCUGCCUGAUGGAGGGGGAUAACUACUGGAAACGGUAGCUAAUACCGCAUAAUGUCGCAAGACCAAAGAGGGGGACCUUCGGGCCUCUUGCCAUCGGAUGUGCCCAGAUGGGGUUAGCUUGUUGGUGGGGUAACGGCUCACCAAGGCGACGAUCCCUAGCUGGUCUGAGAGGAUGACCAGCCACACUGGAACUGGGACACGGUCCAGACCCCUACGGGAGGCAGCAGUGGGGAAUAUUGCACAAUGGGCGCAAGCCUGAUGCAGCCAUGCCGCGUGUAUGAAGAAGGCCUUCGGGUUAUAAAGUACUUUCAGCGGGGAGGAAGGGAGUAAAGUUAAUACCUUUGCUCAUUGACGUUACCCGCAGAAGAAGCACCGGCUAACUCCGUGCCAGCAGCCGCGGUAAUACGGAGGGUGCAAGCGUUAAUCGGAAUUACUGGGCGUAAAGCGCACGCAGGCGGUUUGUUAAGUCAGAUGUGAAAUCCCCGGGCUCAACCUGGGAACUGCAUCUGAUACUGGCAAGCUUGAGUCUCGUAGAGGGGGGUAGAAUUCCAGGUGUAGCGGUGAAAUGCGUAGAGAUCUGGAGGAAUACCGGUGGCGAAGGCGGCCCCCUGGACGAAGACUGACGCUCAGGUGCGAAAGCGUGGGGAGCAAACAGGAUUAGAUACCCUGGUAGUCCACGCCGUAAACGAUGUCGACUUGGAGGUUGUGCCCUUGAGGCGUGGCUUCCGGAGCUAACGCGUUAAGUCGACCGCCUGGGGAGUACGGCCGCAAGGUUAAAACUCAAAUGAAUUGACGGGGGCCCGCACAAGCGGUGGAGCAUGUGGUUUAAUUCGAUGCAACGCGAAGAACCUUACCUGGUCUUGACAUCCACGGAAGUUUUCAGAGAUGAGAAUGUGCCUUCGGGAACCGUGAGACAGGUGCUGCAUGGCUGUCGUCAGCUCGUGUUGUGAAAUGUUGGGUUAAGUCCCGCAACGAGCGCAACCCUUAUCCUUUGUUGCCAGCGGUCCGGCCGGGAACUCAAAGGAGACUGCCAGUGAUAAACUGGAGGAAGGUGGGGAUGACGUCAAGUCAUCAUGGCCCUUACGACCAGGGCUACACACGUGCUACGAUGGCGCAUACAAAGAGAAGCGACCUCGCGAGAGCAAGCGGACCUCAUAAAGUGCGUCGUAGUCCGGAUUGGAGUCUGCAACUCGACUCCAUGAAGUCGGAAUCGCUAGUAAUCGUGGAUCAGAAUGCCACGGUGAAUACGUUCCCGGGCCUUGUACACACCGCCCGUCACACCAUGGGAGUGGGUUGCAAAAGAAGUAGGUAGCUUAACCUUCGGGAGGGCGCUUACCACUUUGUGAUUCAUGACUGGGGUGAAGUCGGAACAAGGUG